GACGAACCGUGCGAACGUUAUUCGGAAUCACUGGGCUUAAAGCGCGUGUAGGCGGGACGGCACGUCGGUCGCUGAAAGCCCCCGGCUCAACCGGGGAACGGGCGCCGAUACGACCGGCCUGGAGGGACGUAGGGGGACCUGGAACUUCCGGUGGAGCGGUGAAAUGCGUUGAGAUCGGAAAGAACACCAACGGCGAAAGCACUCUGCUGGGCCGACACUGACACUGAGAGACGAAAGCUAGGGGAGCGAAUGGG
rnacentral:rRNA from 1 species